rnacentral:rRNA from 1 species
CCUACGGGUGGCAGCAGUCGAGAAUCAUUCACAAUGGGGGAAACCCUGAUGGUGCGACGCCGCGUGGGGGAAUGAAGGUCUUCGGAUUGUAAACCCCUGUCAUGUGGGAGCAAAUUAAAAAGAUAGUACCACAAGAGGAAGAGACGGCUAACUCUGUGCCAGCGGCCGCGGUAAUACAGAGGUCUCAAGCGUUGUUCGGAAUCACUGGGCGUAAAGCGUGCGUAGGCUGUUUCGUAAGUCGUGUGUGAAAGGCGCGGGCUCAACCCGCGGACGGCACAUGAUACUGCGAGACUAGAGUAAGGGAGGGGGAACAGGAAUUCUCGGUGUAGCAGUGAAAUGCGUAGAUAUCGAGAGGAACACUCGUGGCGAAGGCGGGUUCCUGGACAUUAACUGACGCUGAGGCACGAAGGCCAGGGGAGCGAAAGGGAUUAGAUACCCUUGUAGUC